rnacentral:tRNA from 1 species
AGCUCAGAGGUUAAGAGCACUGGCUAUUCUUCCAGAGAUCCUGGGUUCAAUUCCCAG